GAGUAAAUAAUCAUUAAUUAACGGUUAUCCGUCUGUAGAUCCAACUCAGUUGGCAGUUGUAAGGGGUUGGGGUCCAAACCCGAGACUCCCAUUUCUCGACAUUUAAAAAUAUGUAAGCCCAGAGAAAGAUAUAUAUCUUUUUAUUUUUGUAUAAGAGGUUAAAUUCUAUGCACUUGCGUUUGUAAUUUUUGUUUAUGCAUGCCUUGAAUCAAAUAAGUUUGCUACCAUUUGGAUGAUUUGGAAGGAGCGAAACAAUUGUGUGUAAUUCAAAACACGACAACUACUUCAUCCAUCCUUCUUGAUAAAGUAAAGCAGCACUCAUUUUUAUGACUGAAAUAUAAACAGGCAGCAUUCGCUUAUUCUUUUUAUGACCGAUGAAAACAUCCACUCUAUUGUAUGGGUGUGUGCUUGUAAUAUUGUUUCUUGGUUGGCCCUUCAAAGGGCAAUUUGACAAUGUAACUUUGUAACUUUGAUGGUGUUUCUUUCUUGCACAUCUUGUGCGAUUGGAAACACUUUUGAGUAUAUAUAUAUAUAUCAUUUUGAUUUGUUAAAAAAAAUGCUAAAUAAAUAUUUUUAUAUGCUCAUAUGUUAGCCAAAAUGGGUUCGGACGCUACUUUUAAAAUUCAUGUUGGUUAAUUAGGAUACUUUUUUUUUGGUCAGAGGAUACUUUUUCUUUAUUGGGUACUCUAUUGAUCUAUGAUGUUGGUGGCUAUAUUGUCCUCGUGAGUUUAGCUCAGUUGGUAUGGACAAUGCAUAAUAAUAUGUAAGGUCUGAGGUUCGAACCCCGGCCACCAUAAAAAAAAUGUUUAGUUAAUUCAAGC
rnacentral:lncRNA from 1 species